GUGAUCCUCUGAUGGGGUUUGGCCUGCAUGUCCCCGAGCCGCAUCCGCUCACACUGGGGGUGAGUCUCCACCCACUGGACAGGACCAGAACAGAAGAGCAUUGCCCACAACUCUACAGUAUUGGAGUAGUGGCAGGAGACUGAUAACUCAAAGCCUUGACAAAUGAAGAGUUAGGGUUAUGAAAACAUCACAGACCACAAAGUGUCAUCGUUAACAAUAUACAGCAACCAGCCUCUAACGCCAUGGGGUCAAAGGGCUGGCCUGUCCUCCGGACUUCUUCUAACAUGGGAUAAAUCACUUCCUGCCAGAACAGCUGGUGUG